rnacentral:lncRNA from 1 species
UUGUAUGCUUGGGACAAUUGUAAAACCAUGGCCGCGGUCUGUGCACAAGAGCAAGGAGGCGGUAUGCGUCCCAUAGCAUUCUUUUCCAAAGUAGUUCGAGCUCCGGUACAGGGUAUGCCGGCGUGUCUCAGAGCAUUGAUAGCAUGUGCAAUGGCUGUUGAAACUGCUACUACUAUCACACUAGGGCAUCCUACAAUACUUCAUGCCAGUCACCAGGUCACUCAGCUGAUGACAAAUCUCACCACACAACACAUGACAGCCCAGCGCUUCAGUGGUUAUGAGAUUCUUUUUUUAAAUACCCACAAUCUGUUUUUUGGAUUAAACAAGGUUUAGAGAAAGAUCAAAAUGAUCUGUUCUCUAAAGAGGGGAGAAUAGGCAUACUUGAAGAAUAGGCAUACUUGAAGCAAGCUGAUUUAUUUUCAUCAGUCAGGCACAUAGCAAGCACCAUUCAAUUCCUCAUGAAUUCAUUUUAUAUUAGGAAUCUCAGGCAGCAUGUACAGUCUUUUGUAAGAUCGUGUGAACGCUGCUCUUUUUACACACUUACAGAUUGAUUUUAUUCAUGUAUCCAAAAUUGGUAAGAAACAGCAAUACUUACUGGUCAUAGUUGAUCAGUUUAGUAGAUGGCAUGAGGCCUUUGUGACAUCUAGGGAGGAUGCUAGUGAAGAUUAUUGUUACUGAAAUUAUUCCCCGGUAUUGCUGCCCUCUGCAGAUUGGCUCUGAUAAUGGCCCGGUUUUUGCAAGUGGGGUUGCCCAGGAACUUGCUAAAUUCUUGCAAGUUACCUGGUAGUUUCAUAUACCCUAUCAUCCACAGAAUACAGUGGUAGUUGAAAGGAUGAAUAGGACUAUUAAGGAAAAGCCCAGAAUUUACCCAGGAACAUGGGUAAAUUGGACUAGAUAUCUACCAGCUAUUUUAGCUGAGAUAAGAAUAUAUCCCCACAAGGUGAAUUGUUGAUAAAACUGAAUGGUAUGUAUGACAAUGUUUCUUCGCAGUUUUCCCUUACCUUCACAGGAACCUACUCAUUCAUACCAGCCCGGUGACAAGGUGUAUAUCCGUCAGCUGAACAGGACCAAGAAAGGAGGAUACCCUUUUGGACCACCUGCUACUGUGAUUGCUGUACCAAGAACCGCUGUCCACAGAUUCCCACGACAUCUGGAUUCACGCAUCCCGAGUGAAGCUGUGUCCAAAGAGGGGAACCAAGGAAGACAACACCACUCCUCGCUCGGAAACAGAAGAAUUUCUCCUCAGCGAAGCAUCAUGGUUUUCACACCAUAUCGUAGAUUGAGAGGAUCAUACGUACCUGAGACCAAGAUUAUGUUGUGCGCUAUGCUUUCUGGAGUUGUUAUACUCCCUCUGAUAUUGUUCCUUGAAUGCCAUUAUGAGUACAAGUCAAUGGCAAGUUUGAAACCUGUUUGUUUCUGGAAAAAGACUCUGACAUGAUGAACAAUUCUUCAAUACCCCCAGCCCAAUUAGGCCUUAGCCCCUCAUCUAGCAUUCGUCACACACGCCCCCUCAAGAACCUUUCUCCACCACCUUUCUAUCAGCAUGCAAUAUGCAAUCAUUCAUUCACUGAAUGCAUUUGGAUGAAUUGGACAAAUAGUAACCCUUAUAAGUACCAGUUACCCAUAUGAAAUGUGUCUACAGCUAAUGAAACCGAUGCAUUAUGUUUGUUUAAAGGUUCACAGAAAAUUGUUAGAUCUUAUAACGCAGAAAUGUGCACAGUUAAGGUUGCAUAUCAAUGUAAAUAGACAGGCCUUAUUACUUUUAAUAAUGAUUAUAUAACUGGUACCAUUAAUUGGAAAAAGGGACAAAUGUUAGUCAUUAUGAAUGACACUGCAAUUGAGAACUAUACACUACCUUAUAUUUUUACACCUUAUUACUGUCCUUUAUCCUCUAACAUAGAACCAAAAGUCAACAACGACACACACACACCUAUUCCAUCCACAUGUGUUAAUACAACUGUCUUCUUACAAGCUGUACAUGUGUCAUUAAAAAUCACUACUCCUGUUGUAACAUUAUGUAACACAGCAAACAAAAGGCAGAAAAGGGAAUGGUAUGACACACUGUUAGGAGGUGCUGGAACCACUAUGGGUAUACUAAAUAGUAUAGACAUGGAGACCCUCAAGAAUAAGUUAAACACAGCCAGCAUGCAUAUAGGGACUGGUUUCCAUGCUACUGCAAAUUGGGCUCCAAUUGUUGUUAAAUCACAGGUUAUAGGAUUGGAUUUAGAUAAAUCAAUGUAUAAUUAUUUAGAUAAUUUAACUGUUGCAACUAUGAAAUUCACUACAGAUCUAAGUAACUGGAGUACUUGUGCCAUCAGGUAUUUAUGGAUACAACAACAAGGAUUGGCAUUAGAAAACACACUAAUGAUUCCUAAACUAGAGAAGAUUAGAGGAAUGUGUAACCUCACAGAUAAUGAUUGGUUACUUCUAAAACCCCAAUCCAGUAAAUGCAAUGGAUGGUUAACUGGUAAUGUUUCACAUUUUUCAUGCUCAUGCUAUUUAACAUUAUAUCAUACAUUAUCAAAGGAUGUUAAAUUAGCUUGUCAAUUUAACACAUUACCAGUACCAGUUUAUGAUCUUUUUGCCAAGAAUUUAACCUGGUGGGCACCCACAUACACAGGGGACUAUAUUUUUCCCAAAGAUAACAUACACAGGUAGCCACACAUAUCCUAAAAGGAGAACUCCUUAAGGUGAGUUCACAAAUUCAGAAUGAUUUAGCCCAUCAUUGGUACGAUGCUUCACUGGUUGGUCCCCUACUGGAUUCCAGAUAAUGAAAUCAUUCUUCUAUCCUUUUGUUAUUAUAGUCCUGAUUUUAUUGUGUAUGAUUUUAUAUAACUGUCACCUUACUUGUACAUUGAGGAAGAGAGUACAGAAAUGAAUCCAUAAUGCAGAACAGAAACAAUUAGAAAUUCUCCUCUCUGCCACUGGAGGGUAUCAACCCAUCUUUAAACUAGGCCUUAGGAAUUACCACAUGGGAAUCGAGGUGAAGAAAUUAAUGAAAGUCCCGCAGGGAGUGACUAGCACCCCUGAAAAUACCAUGUGGAAGUUUCUCUGUCCUGGUAAGAUUUUAUCGAUAAGAUGAGCAAUUGUUUUAUUGCUCAAAGAGGGGAAUGUAAGAAUAUUAAAUAGUUAACUUGUUUAUAUGUAUUUUAUGCUUUUAUAAGGUUUAUAACAUGAUUAUUGCUGACUGAAGGAAUAUUGAAUACUUAAAAGUCAAUGUACGACAUAAUAUGCUGACUGUGACAGACUAAGGUAUUUCUUCUAUAGGAUGUAAGACAAUGCUAAAAUUUCAGGAUGUCUUGCCCAUUCUGAUUUCAGGAUAUUCUUUUCCAGACGUAUGCAAAAGCUUAUCUUUCCAUUGUCAGAAUAACGUAAUACAAGGAAGUAAUAAAUCUUAUAGUCUGUACUGUAUUUGCAUAUACCAUGGCUAAUGUAAGCAAACUAUGUAUAAAAGCCAGCUCUGGAAUACACUCAUUUGAGAGUCUUGUAAAGCUGUUGUCCGUGUGUUAAUGCUUACAAUGAUCCUCCAUCAACGUUGAUUAUGGUGACCGAGGGAACGAGAACCGAGGGGAUUAGAGUCCAUUACAACAUUAACCCUUUCAAGUACC